rnacentral:lncRNA from 1 species
UGUGGAACAAGCUGCCAAGGUUUGGGUACAAUUGGUUGAGUUAUGAUAGUGAUUGCAACGAUGGCCAUGCAUUUGCCCGAGCUGCAUGUUUGCUAGAUAUUUGCAGACAUUAUUGAUUUCUUUCUGUAAUAUGACCUGCAUUUUAUGACCUAUAGCAUAAGUGAAUGGCAUUAUGAUAUGUCAAAAUGUUUUGUCAUCCUUUGAAAAGAUUUCUGUGCAACGAAACUUGACCUGAAUCUUCAAUAAUGAUCGUUCAUUACUUUCAAUCUUACCCCACCUCUCCCAACACCUUCCCCUCCCCCUCCCCAAGGAAAAAAUCAAAAGAAAAGAAAAUUUAUUCGCCCAACUUAGCGUUUUCAAUUAUCCUUUUGUCACGAUCCAAAAUCUAAUUAUGGUUGUGAUGACGCCUAUCGUAUUACAAGGCAAGCCAAUUCCUAAAACAUUAUAUAAGAAUUUAAUAAAAUAUUUUCAAUAAUUUAAUUCAUGAUAAACUAAACCAACUCUAAAUAUAAAUAAUAUAAAAUACAAAAAAACGUGUCCCAAAUAUCGAGUGUCACUAAGUCAUGAGCGUCUAAAACUAUAAACUAAGAUAUAUAAACUGGCUAACUGUCCAAAAGAAGAAAUGACAAAAUAAGUAACAAUGUCCUGCGGACGCUGGCAGCUACCUUGCAAUCUCCAUUGAUAGCCGGCCUGAAAUCAAUGAUCGUCGCACUCUAACUCACCUGGAUCUGCAAAUAAAGUGCAGGGUGUACUAUGAUUACUACCACCUCAGUAGUAACAGAAAUAACUAAGGAACUGAGCAGUAGUGACAAGUUAAGUAAAACAGUUCAAUUAUUUAUUUUCACAAUUUAAAGAUAAACCAGUAAAUUUCAUAACUNNNNNNNNNNNNNNNNNNNNNNNNNNNNNNNNNNNNNNNNNNNNNNNNNNNNNNNNNNNNNNNNNNNUAAACCAGUAAAUUUCAUAACUCAGUAAAUAUCACAAAGAAAUUUAACAGAUAAAUGCAGCAACAACAAAAGUAGAUGCAACUUCACAGCAAUGCCACUCAAUCACUCAGCACUCAACACUUAACACUCAAUACUCGAUACACUCAACAUUCUGCGCUCACUGGGGGUGUGUACAGACUCUGGAGGGUCUCCCAAAGCCCAAGCGCUAAGCACGGACAACUCACGUGCCAUCAUAUUAAUAACUAGAUCCGCACGGUCAACUCACGUGCUACGCGGACAACUCAUGCGCUAUGGUAUCAAUACCUGGACCCGCACGGGCAACUCACGUGCUAUGCGGACAACUCACGGUCAACUCACGUGCUACGCGGACAACUCAUGCGCUAUGGUAUCAAUACCUGGACCCGCACGAUCAACUCACAUGCUACGUGGAAAACUCACGCGCUAUGGUAUUAUUAUCCUCCAACCAGGCCAUUGGCCUUACUCAAUCAAGUACCUCACCAGCCUCACCAUUAUCAACAAAUAAGCGGACAUAGCCUACAUCAAGUAUUACAGUAUAUUAGAAAGCAAUAGAGACUAAGGUAAAUAUUUAUAAAAAUUUCUAUGUCUGUGUAAAAAUAAUGUGAACCUGAAUAAACCUAGGCAUUAUCUCUAACCUGAAGGCAGAAAAGUUCAAAUACAAGUAAACACAUAAUCACAAAUAAUAGCUAUUAGGCCUCAUAGUCUCACAGGGCUGACCAAGUCUCAAUCCCUCGUGGUGCAAACCCACACGCCCGUCACCUAGCGUGGCUAUCACAACCUAUUAGGCAUCAUAACCUCACCGGACGGACCAAGUCUCAAUCACUCGCGGUGAAAACUUACACGCCCAUCAUCUAGCAUGGGUAUCACCACCAAACAAUCACAUGAUAUUACUUUCUCUGGGUUAAUACCGUUAAAGCCAGAGUUAAAGUUCUUACUUACCUCAAUCACAUAAAAUCGAACUCCGGGAUGCCCUCGUCUUUGGACUCAGUCUCCAAAAGCUCCAUAUCUAACCAUAAUCAGAUUACUAUUAUAAGACAUAGUCUACAGAAUCGAAUUCCACAAUAAAAACUAAAAAAUAUAAAAAUAAUUCGAAAUCGGCCAAAACCCGGCCCCCGGAGCCAUAUCUCGGAAUUAGUUAAAAAUAAUAUAAUCCUCAACCUCGUUCUCUCCCGAGUCUAACCAUAUAAAAUUUAUCAAAAUCGAACUUCGUUUGGUCCCUCAAGCUCUCCAAAACUUAAACCCUAACUCCCUGAAUUUCACUUUGAAAUUACCAAUCAAAUCCCAAAAACGAAGAUGGAUUCAUUAAACGUAACCAAAAUUGAGUAGAGAACACUUACCCAAUCUAUAUUGUGAAAAUAUCCUCCAAAUCACCCAAGUCCGAGCCCCCCAACUCAAAAUAUGAUCGAAUGAACAAACCCUAGUUUUAUAUAUUUUUCUUCCAGCUAUUCUGCCUCGUUCCUCGUGCUAAACGAUCCCAAAACUCAUAUUCUGUGCCUCCAAUAGAUUCCUUGAGAAAUUAUAAUCAAGUUAGGCUUUUGAAUCACUCAAUUUGACAUUUUAAUGAAUGAGAU